ensembl:lncRNA
CUUAUUGCUUGCUUCAUCUUAUUAAAUAUUUAAGAUUUUCUGUUACUAUUAUUGAAAAUACCAAGUUAUAUGUUAGCUGCUAAACUGGUUAGUUUUAUUUUUGAGCAAUAUAUACCUUUCUCUGUCAUUAAAUGGACAAGAAAAAUUUGAGAACAAGGUUUAAUAAAUUAUUUCUGAAUUUUAACUGUGAAGUUAAUUUAUUUUUCCCCAAAAACUGAACACCAGAGUUUGAUAACAUAUACACAUAUUGAAGGAAUCCUAUUAGUUUUGAUCAUACAUGUUGUCUCAUAAAAAACAUAAUUUUUGCUAUCCAUUACUCUCCAUUAUUACAAAUGAAGGAAACAGAAAUAGCACAUUUAUUUGACUGUUACUUAGCAUAAAUCAGUUGAACUCAAUAUAUGGGUCCAAAGCUUUGGCUCAAACAUAAAAGGAACAUAAUGACUUGAAAUUGUGUCAUUAGAAAUUAUUACAUUGGUAAAAAUAUUUUAAGAUGACCGCUAUUUCUAUUUUCCUAAACCUUUUUUAGUAUAUUGACCUAAGCAAGGCAGUGCUAAGUGAAUGAAUAAAAGCUAUACCUGCUAGCAUUUGAAAAGUCUUGGGAAAACAUUUUUUCUAUACUUUUCAAAAAAUGAAGAAGCAAAUGACUGUUGCAAGAUAGCUGGUUUCUAAUUCUUUACUUUCAACUGUAUUGAGGAAGAAGUUAUUUGAUUUGACACCUGCUGAUCUAGAUCUGAUAGACAGAGUGCCUGAUGAACUAUGGACGGAGGUGCGUGACAUUGUACAGGAGACAGGGAUCAAGACCAUCCCAUGGAAAAGAAAUGCAAAAAAGCAAAAUGGGUGUCUGGGGAGGCCUUACAAAUAGCUGUGAAAAGAAGAGAAGUGAAAAGCAAAGGAGAAAAGGAAAUAUAUAAGUAUCUGAAUGCAGAGUUCCAAAGAAUAGCAAGGAGAGAUGAGAAAGCCUUCCACAGCGAUCAAUGCAAAGAAAUAGAGGAAAAAAACAGAAUGGGAGACUAGAGAUCUCUUCAAGAAAAUUAGAGAUACCAAGGGAACAUUUCAUGCAAAGAUGGGCUCAGUAAAGGACAGAAAUGGUAUGGACCUAACAGAAGCAGAAGAUAUUAAGAAGAGGUGGCAAGAAUACACAGAAGAACUAUACAAAAAAGAUCUUCAUGACCCAGAUAAUCACGAUGGUGUGAUCACUCACCUUGAGCCAGACAUCCUGGAAUGUGAAGUCAAGUGGGCCUUAGGAAGCAUCAUUAUGAACAAAGCUAGUGGAAGUGAUGGAAUUCCAGUUGAACUAUUUCUCAUCCUAAGAGAUGAUGCUGUG